rnacentral:rRNA from 1 species
UACGAAGGGGGCUAGCGUUGCUCGGAAUCACUGGGCGUAAAGGGUGCGUAGGCGGGUCUUUAAGUCAGGGGUGAAAUCCUGGAGCUCAACUCCAGAACUGCCUUUGAUACUGAAGAUCUUGAGUUCGGGAGAGGUGAGUGGAAUUCCGAGUGUAGAGGUGAAAUUCGUAGAUAUUCGGAAGAACACCAGUGGCGAAGGCGGGUCUCUGGGCCGUAACUGGACGCUGAGGAGCGAAAGCAUGGGGAGCGA